UAUCAGCUAGUUGGCGGUGUAAUAGACCACCAAGGCUAUGACGUCUAGGGGAGGUGAGAGCCUGACCCCCACCGAUGGGACUGAGACACGGCCCAUACACCUACGGGUGGCUGCAGUCGAGAAUCUUCCACAAUGGACGAAAGUCUGAUGGAGCGACGCCGCGUGAAUGAUGAAGCACUUCGGUGCGUAAAGUUCUUUUAUGGAGGAAAAAUUUUAUGAUAUUACUCCAAGAAUAAGGGGUUGCAAAACUCGUGCCAGCAGCAGCGGUAAUACGAGUACCCCAAGCGUUAUCCGGAAUUACUGGGCGUAAAGGGUGCGUAGGAGGCAGUGUUAGUCUUGUUUUAAAGAUCUGGGCUUAACCCAGGGGAUGGACAAGAAACGGCACAGCUUAGAGAGUGUGAGAGGUUUAUGGAACUCAUGGUGUAGGGGUGAAAUCCGUUGAUAUCAUGGGGAACACCAAAGGCGAAGGCAAUAAACUGGCACAUUUCUGACUCUGAAGCACGAAAGCGUGGGGAUCAAAAAGGAUUAGAUACCCUUGUAGUCCACGCCCUAAACGAUGUCAUCUAGCUUAUCGGAGUAUCGACCCUCUGAGAGGCGUAGCAAACGCGUUAAGAUGACCGCCUGGGAAGUACGGCCGCAAGGCUAAAACUCAAAGAAAUAGACGGGGACUUGCACAAGCAGUGGAUCAUGUGGUUUAAUUCGACGCUAAACGAAGAACCUUACCAGGGUUUGAAAUUCAAAUGAAUCUCAGAGGAAACUUUGAGAGUCUCACAAGGACAUUUGGACAGGUGAUGCAUGGCUGUCGUCAGUUCGUGGUUUGAAUUGUUCCCUUCAGUGGGGUAACGAACGCAACCCUCGUUGUCUGUUAUACGUGUCAGGCAAGACUGCCCCUUUUGGGGAGGAAGGAGAGGAUGACGCCAAGUCAGCAUGUCCCUCUGACACCCUGGGCUACACACAUGAUACAAUGGCCGGUACAAAGGGUCGCUAAACCGUAAGGUGGAGCCAACCCCAUCAAAGCCGGUCUCAGUUCGGAUUGAGGUCUGCAACUCGACCUCAUGAAGUUGGAAUUGCUAGUAAUCGCGGGUCAGCUAUACCGCGGUGAAUACGUUCUCAAGUCUUGUACUCACCGCCCGUCAACUCAAGGGAGUU
rnacentral:rRNA from 1 species